AUAGCGUAUAUUAAAGUUGUUGCAGUUAAAAAGCUCGUAGUUGAACCUUGGGCCUGGCUGGCCGGUCCGCCUCACCGCGUGCACUGGUCCGGCCGGGCCUUUCCUUCUGGGGAGCCGCAUGCCCUUCACUGGGUGUGUCGGGGAACCAGGACUUUUACUUUGAAAAAAUUAGAGUGUUCAAAGCAGGCCUUUGCUCGGAUACAUUAGCAUGGAAUAAUAGAAUAGGACGUGCGGUCCUAUUUUGUUGGUUUCUAGGACCGCCGUAAUGAUUAAUAGGGAUAGUCGGGGGCAUCAGUAUUCAAUUGUCAGAGGUGAAAUUCUUGGAUUUAUUGAAGACUAACUACUG
rnacentral:rRNA from 1 species